UAGGUUCAACCUAAAAGGAUUUAUCUUGAUAGGGUAAAACGAAAGAACCUAUA
rnacentral:tRNA from 1 species